UACAGUUGGAGUUUAUAAAUAUUAGUAUUUUCAAUACUUUUUAAAUUUAAA
rnacentral:tRNA from 1 species